rnacentral:rRNA from 1 species
GACAGAGGGUGCAAACGUUGUUCGGAAUUACUGGGCGUAAAGCGCGUGUAGGCGGUCGGGUAAGUCGGAUGUGAAAGCCCCGGGCUCAACCCGGGAAGUGCAUUCGAUACUACUUGGCUAGAGUACUGGAGAGGAUGGUGGAACUCUCGGGUGUAGAGGUGAAAUUCGGUAGAUAUCGAGAAGAACACCGGCGGCGAAGGCGGCCAUCUGGACAGAUGACUGACGCUGAGACGCGAAAGCGUGGGGAGCAAACAGG